rnacentral:lncRNA from 1 species
AACUUUUCCUGCAUGACAUGGAAUCUGAGUGGCUUAUCAGAAAGCAGACACCCAACAAGGCACAACUCAGGCAAAACCAUGAAUCUUCUCCAUGUUCCCCCAAUAACCAUGAAUUUAAUUGUUGGCUUUGUUGAUGAUUAAUUUGAGUAAGCAGACUCUAACAUAAAUAAAGACGAGUGAAUCAGUUAGUUCUUGUUCAACUUCUUGCUCUUGAAGUUCAAUCAGAAUAUUCAAAUUGUGUUGGAUUUGGUUUGCUUAUGUGUUGUUAUUAAUUCUCAUCCGGUGAGCAUAAUCACUCAGUUUUGUAUGUUAUCAUUAUACUUCUUGCUACAAUUGGUUUAUUCUUGGAGUUUUGAAAAUGGAUUGUCAAUUUGUAGGUGAUUCUGUUCUGCUAGUAACUGAUACUUCACAUGGUUGGUAGUUUUGAGAAGAUGGAGCAUGAAAAUUGGUUUAUGUGAAAGAUGAGUUUUGUUAGAAGUCCCACAUUAGCUAGAGAUAUGACAAAGAUAACCUUUAUAAGUGUAGUGCAAACCUCAACUCUAAAGCUAACUUUUGUGGUUGAGUAUAGGCCUCUCAAAUUCUAAUAUGGUAUCAGAGUCUAUCCUAGAUCCAUUUGUUGUUUGUUGUGGAGACCUCCCAUAUUUGGGGCACCCGUUGUUGUUGAUUCCACGUUCCAGCUUGUUCAGUCCCGGACGUGAGAGGGUGUGUUAGAAGUCCCACAUUAGCUAGAGAUAUGACAAAGAUAACUUUUAUAAGUGUAGUGCAAACCUCAACUCUAAAGCUAGCUUUUGUGGUUGAGUAUAAGCCUCUCAAAUUCUAAUAAGUUUUCCUACAAGGGUGUUUGAUUUCUGUCCCCUUUGAAUAGCUUCAGUAACAAGUUUUGUUAUAAGAAGAUUAAUUUGGAUUUUGCUUCAUGUACUAUGGAAUAUUGAAAUUUUUGUCAGUACUUAGUGGCAUGCUUUGGAAGAUAUGCUUUGGUUAUAAUGAAGCUUUGGUUACCAAUUUGGUAUUGUUCAUUCCAAGCUCAAAAUGUUGUGAACACCUUCCAGUUUGUUAGAGGCUGAUGAAAUAUAGGUAAUAAGGGUCAUUUAGUUAGUUAGUUAGUAUGUAAGGUAGAUGAUAUUCAAUUGUAAAACAAUUUCUCCUUCAUUUGAAUCAUUUUGUUUCAAUACAAAUCUUUCAAGCUUUUCACUCAUUUUCUC